GAAAUCAGCAAAAUGAAGAUCAAAAGAAGGUGAUGCAGGAGGAAGCUGCUGGAAGGGACCAUGUUGCAAAGCCUCCCCCAGGGACACAGAAGAAAAGGGAGGAGAUGAGUCGGAGAAGCAGAAGUGCAGAAGAACUGGGACUGAAGGACUGACAAACCCGAUGCUUCUUCACACACAGAACAGGAAGAGAGUCAUGCUGCUCUUCAGCUACAGGAAAUAACCUCUGUGCUGAUGACGCAGGUCUCAGGGGAAUGUUCAGCAAGUUCUGUAGGUCUGAAACAUACUGUACGCUCUGUAACUGCAUGAGCGGCAGUCCACACACACACACACACACACACACACACACACACACUCAUACUCAGACAAAUAUUUCUUUGAGAGCUACUUUGUACGUUUGGGUUCUUCACUAAAUCGUCAAAAGCAACUACAGUAUCUCACUGUCUUUCUCUCCCUUAGCACCAGCUUACACACAUGCACACACAAACUAGAUUAAAAGAUGUAAAUCUGUAAAACUGCCACUAGACGAUAUGUCUGUGCAGAGAUUUCCCCCCCGCAACACAUCCAGCGGUCUCCCUAAUUAGAGCUGAGCACAUCUGUGGGCAAGGGAGUCUGCCUCUGCACAUGGAGGGGGGAUUUGGCCGAGAGCAUUCACUGGGCUGUCUGGUGGGGAAGACAAUGGAGAGGAGUACUGUGCAGAGUGCUUUUCCCCAGCACAGAGGAGAGAGAAGAAUAAUGCCAGUUGAAUGUCCCAUAGAGAUGGAUUUAUUGAGACUAUUGGUAUUGGAAAAUCCGGUUAGGGACUUAAUCAAAAUAGAGCGGCAGCAGGGAGAGACUGAGCUGAGACUGAGCUGAGCCUGUAGAGCGGGGAUAAAAAAGACCAGCCCUGCCUAUCCUUUUCCUUUACCUG